rnacentral:rRNA from 1 species
GACGAACCGAGCGAACGUUGUUCGGAAUCACUGGGCUUAAAGGGCGCGUAGGCGGGCUGCCAAGUCCGGGGUGAAAUCCACCGGCUCAACCGGGGAAGGGCCUCGGAUACUGGCGGCCUGGAGGGGGGUAGGGGCGUGCGGAACUGUGGGUGGAGCGGUGGAAUGCGUUGAUAUCCACAGGAACUCCGGUGGCGAAGGCGGCACGCUGGACCCCACCUGACGCUGAGGCGCGAAAGCCAGGGGAGCGAACGGGA